UUGGAGGGCAAGUCUGGUGCCAGCAGCCGCGGUAAUUCCAGCUCCAAUAGCGUAUAUUAAAGUUGUUGCAGUUAAAAAGCUCGUAGUUGAAUUUCGGGGUCAGCAGGUUGGUCGUGCCAAUGGUAUGCACUGGCCUUGCUGAUUCCUCCCUCUUGAUGAGCCGUAAUGCCAUUAAUUUGGUGUUGCGGGGAAUCAGGACUGUUACUUUGAAAAAAUUAGAGUGUUUAAAGCAGGCAAGCGCUUGAAUACAUUAGCAUGGAAUAAUGAAAUAGGACGUUUAAUCCUAUUUUGUUGGUUUCUAGGAUUGACGUAAUGAUUAAUAGGGAUAGUUGGGGGCAUUAGUAUUCAAUUGUCAGAGGUGAAAUUCUUGGAUUUAUUGAAGACUAACUACUGCGAAAGCAUUUGCCAAGGAUGUUUUCAUUAAUCAAGAACGAAAGUUAGGGGAUCGAAGACGAUCAGAUACCGUCGUAUUCUUAACCAUAAACUAUGCCGACUAAGGAUCGGAUGAUGUUAAUUUUUUAAUGACUCAUUCGGCGCCUUACGAGAAAC
rnacentral:rRNA from 1 species